GGGCAGUGGAACAGCUCCUGCUGGAUCUAAGAGAUCAACCCAAAAUACUGUAAAAAUCUGUAGGUUUUCCCCUAAACAUUGUAAAUUCUCCUUUCUCUAGGUCUGACCUAAAUGCCAUUAACCUUUCAAGGAAACAUUUACAAAUCUGAUAGUCUUCUGUGAUGGCAUGGCAGGAUGGGUCAGUGACGGGAGAGCAGCGGAUGUUAUCUUAUCUCCACUUCAGCAAGGCUUUUGACACUAUCCAGCAUAACAUCGUUGUAGGAACAAAGAAGAGACAGUGUCCCUGCCUCCAAGGUAGUAUAAUCUCAGAUAUCAAACCUGGAAAUCUCAUGGCACUUUAAUAGCUGUGCAAGGGUCUGAAGAUAUGCUGAACAUAUGUGAAGACGUAAUGGGGUACUUGAAAUGGUAAGACUGAGGUGAAUAUAGAAAUAAGUCUGGGGUGGGAUUUCCUUUAUUUUCCAAAUAUUGUCUCAGAUAUCAGUUAUCCACAGUUCAAUUUUCUUAAAGCACUAUGACAGCAAAAAGAGUUGAAGGUAUAAUUAGUGUGGUAGAAGAAGAGCAGGAAAUUAAAACAAAUUCUACCCAUUCAAACUCACAGAGAAACAUGGGUGGUGAAUCAUAUAGCAAAAGACAAGCCUCUGAAGAAACAGACUUCAAAAGUAAUUGUUCAACCCAACAAGAAUAUUGGUGACUACUCUGUUCUCAUCUGCAGGAAAGAUUCCGGUUUUGUUAAUAUAACAGGACACAGUAAGAAAGACUUGGAAAUUUCCACUUACUGGACUUGCAAACAAGUAAAUUGUGCAUUUUUCUGAAGUGCUUUCCUUUUAAAGGUGCCUGAAGGGUAAUGUGUGCAGAUUAUUUAUGAAGUGUAACCUUGCACUUGGAAGAAGUCCAGAAAGAAAGUCUGGACCCAGUUUACUUGCUCUUUGAACUUUCCAAAAUAGAGGAGUUCCCAAGUAAAUAGAGGAAUCAUGUGGCUAGCUUGAGUCUUAUCUUCUGCUACUUAAUCCUGUCACAAAUGGCAUGCUAUUGCUGAGCAAAGAGGACUAUCUGCCAAAGAUGUAGCAUUACUGCAGGCAGCAUGUAUUCCUCCCACAAUACUAUGGGAAGUAAAAAGCCCUAACAAUACAGCAUGGUUUUGUAAUGACUCUAGUACUGCUAUUUUAUGCUUUUUGGAAAUGUUUUUUUUUUAAAAAGUAUUUUAUUUACCUUGUUCCUAAGCAGGUUCCUCAGUAUAAACUAUAUAUAAUAUUGCUGUAAAAUACCUGGUUCGCUGGUGUUAUUGAAAGUGCUAUGUUUGCUGUGGCAGCUGUCUGCAUAACAUCUGAGAAAUCAGAAGUGUCAAUACCAAACGUAAAGGAAACUCUGGUAUCUUUGAUCCUGCUAUGUGGUAACUAUGUUGUCAGAUGUGAAUGGAGGUGUGUAUGAAGAACAAGGCACAAAAUUGUGAGUAAAUCAGGUUAAACAUAUCAAACACCUUGCUUGGGAUUACCAGCUCACUUGCAGAAACUCCUGUAAAGUCCUAAUGAACUGUUAAGAGGCCCUGGAUACACUCUGUCAUGUAAUCUGACAGACAGGAGACACCAAUGUCACAAAGAUGGCAGCCCUUUUACCACUCCUAUUGCCAUAGCUCAGAUGAGCAAGCACGUUCCUACCAGAGGUGAGGAGGUGGCUCCCUGCAGCCGGACUGCACUGCAGAUCUGGGGCCUCCUCCGGCAGGUGCUGACUCCCUGGAGUACCACAUCACUCUCACCAGAGGGUUUUCGAUCAACUCUUGGCUGUGAAGGCAAUGACACAGAGUGCCUUCAGAUCACAGCAUCUCUACAGCCAUUUGAAUUUAAAAACAAUGGAAAAAGUGUUGCUUAGAUUUAAAAUGAAAGCUUGUUGCACAGCUGGCUUUUCCCACUCUGUUCUCAACAAGAUGAUUUAAGGCCCCACCUGCACAAAGGUCUGGGGGCUGAGCUCUUGACCAGGCUGGCCAAUCAUCUACUUCAACACCUUUUAGCUCUUCUCUAGCUCGUGGCUUUCAGCCAGGCCACGGCUGAAAGCUUUUCUAAAAGCUGAGCUUUGAGGUGAAUUGGUCUGCUAGCCUCCUGUCCCACCACUCUGAUUGCAACUUGCAUUUAAAGCCUACAACCACCAGAUUUGCAGUCUUGCGCUCUCUCAUCGUAACUCCUGCUUCCACUCCCUGACCUUCUGACAGGUUUACAGAUCUGCCUGGAAAGAGAUGCUAGACUGAUUCCUGAGGGAUUGUUCAUGUGGAUAACUCUGAUUCAGGCUCACAGGAAAAACAAAAAUCUACACAGGAGGAGGGAUGGGGGAAGCUCAGGUGGCUUAGGACUGAGUAAAAGAAACCCUUGGAGACAAACAUACUCAAAGAUUACUUAAAAUGGUGGAUUUGAAGAAAAUCUUAUCACCAUUAAAAACACACUCAGAGGAAACCCUCACUCUCCUGAGUGCUAUUACAGAGUAAACACCGUAUGUUAAACCUCUGAGCUGUGAAGCGAGGGUGUCCUGUGUUAUUUGAUGAAGAAUGGCUGAGAGCAACUCAGAGGGCCUCGAAAAACCUAGUGGACCUUAACUUUAGAAAAUCAUAUGGUGCUUCAUCAUAGGAUAAGCGUCAGUUACCUUUUUGGAUAGAGCAUUGUCAAGAAUUACACCAGAACCUUCAGGUAUACACAAGCAAUAGUCUGUGUUUGGGAAGGGAAGUUUCCAAAUUUGCAGAGUUUGUCCAGUGCCUUUAGCAAUACAAAGUUAGAAGGAUAAAUUUGGUACUUACUGGAGUCUAAGUUUAUAUCUACAUUAACAACCAUAGCACCAGUAGUGAAAGGGGAGGUGACUGCCCAUGUUCUGAUUGUAGCAACCCCUAAUUCAGGACUGCAAAUCUGUGUCUCUUUGGUAGAACAAUGCAUAUGUUUUACCUCAUCAAGCCUCGUCACUGCCCUGUGCAUAAAAUUGUUGUAAGAAGUACCUCAUAGUUUAUGCACUUCGGAGCCAGUUUGGAUGUAUGAGUGUAGGGAACCACACCUGCAGUCACUGUGUGACUGAGCUAUGGACUAGGUACAUCAUACUAUUUAUGCUUCACCAUUGUAUAGACUUGUCAGGGGAAUUGAUAAGAGUGAGCUCAGUAAAAAUCUCCAGAACAGGGGCUUGCUGAGGCACUGCAGUACAUAAACAGAUCUGUCUUUCUGAAUGUUUGCCCCAAGCAGCACCAUCGUGCAGCUGCAGCCCUGGCUGCUGCUUCGCCUUUGACUGCACAGUGAGAGGGAGGAAGUGUACCACUGCUCUCACCCUUCCUCUCACAAGCAGCAAGGGUAGCAGCUUCUCGCUCGAGGUGCCCAGCACGAAAGAUGCCUCUUCCCUCUCUCACGGGAAAGAAACAGCAGGGUACAUUAUUCUUCCCUACAGUUUCAAAGUAGCACUUCUGGCACUAACGGUCUGCAUAUCUCAUUUUGCAUAUGUUUGCUCUAAAGGGACUUCUGAGGCGUCGUCUUCACGUCUAUCUGCUUAGACUGCUGCAAGACUUGUCUGGGCUCAUCUUGAACAAACCAGCUGGCAGACUGCAAGCAGUAGAGCUCAGCUCAGUAGGCUUUGUUACCAUUAUUGUGGAUACUUGGUAGUUCUCUUUAAGUAAUUUGCAUCCUGGUUAGCAGCUCUCAUCAUCUUUGUUCCAAAACCUGGCCAAUGCUGGUUGGAAAUGGAGUGAAUACAGCUUGUAGCUUCUUAAGAUAUUCUUAUUUUAAGAACACUUGAAAGAAUGGAUCCUUACACCAAAAGUACAGCAUUUAGAGAAAGAAAAUUCAUGCUCAGAUACAUAUUCUCUUGCAAAAGUAAAAUCAGACAUAAUGCAAUUGGUUAUGAGUUAUUAUUUGGUACACCUUAGCUUCAGAUUCUGGCCUCUAACUCUGUAAAUGUAUAGACAUGCUUAAUGAUCUGUGAAUCAUCUUAACAACAAUGUUCUUGUUAUCAGAUUAUAAUGAUGUUGGGUUGGUCCUGCAAAGAGAUAUUAUUAUCCAGUAUUGAGAGCUAAGUUUCAUAUGAAAAAUCAGCUCAAUACUCACCAGACAGCCACAAACCAUUGUUAGCCUUAACAGUAAUCUAUCAGUACUUGCACUUGUGAAUUAAAUGAAAAGAUUCGUGUUAUUCUUGUGGGAAGCUGAAGUCGUGUUCACAGAUGGGGCACAGCAUGUAAUUCCACCAAGGCUGAUACAACUUGUAUUACACUUGAGUUUCAUUCUAUGAAAUUCUUAUCUUGGAACUCCUUUUAAACCUAAUCCUGACUGCUCAUCAGUGGUCGCUCAUUUGCUAAGCAGAAAACAAAGUGUUUUCAUGAUUGCAAAACCAUCAAAUGAACACAAAUGGCAUCACGAGCCAGUAUGGUAUUUGGAUUGAAAAAUAUUCUGAGGUAGAUAAUACCUCCAACUCUAUAAAUCUUCUUGUAUGUCAGAAAGCUCUAUGGCUUCCCCAUGGAAAAAUAUUGCUAUCCUAUGAAUUUCAACUAAAAUGAAGUGUCUAGGAAAUAACAAGACUUAUGGACACAAACACUGAACUCCUCUUAGACCACAACCCUUUAUCUCACUAAAAGUGGCACGUGGUGAGAUUAGCAAUGCGAUAACUCAUGGAACUCUGGUCUUCAAUGUGCUGCUUAGCCAUUUCUCAUCUCGAGUCACUCAGACUUGCAUUUCUUUUUCUCUGGAAAAUGUCAAAGAACUCACAGAUCAAAACCAGGAGCUGACACAAACACACAGGUGCUGGAUCUAAGAAAUGAUUGAAUUGAGGAAUUAGAUGGGAAGUAAGAAUUUCAGAGUCCACAACUAUACCCCUUAUGCAAGUUUCUCAAACUUCUUGCACUUACUAGUAUUAGACUUGGCCAGUCUUUAGUCAGAAGCCCAUUGAUAUUCACAUCUUAGAGAUGAAAAGUGUAUUUUAUCAUUUGGAUGGGACUUUUUAUCCAAUGUCAGUAGUAAAUCAAAGCAUUACCUAGUGUUAAGAAGCACUGUGCUACUAAAAACAUUGCUUUGUCAUUGAAAUAUGUCCAUUAGUACUCCUGUGACUAGUCAGAUGAAUUAUAAACUAACAGAAUUUGAAUAACUGCCUUGCCAUGCUGCAAGGAAAGGUAAUGUCACUCCUGCUUAGUAUCACCUCAGGCUUUUCUACAUGCUGGAACUUGGUAUUUACUGGUAACUAACAGUGAAUUUAAAGUGCUGUCACAGUCAUUUUGCUCAGCUUCCAGAUCUAGGUGGUCAAAGCAUGUAAGGAACGAUCCACAAGAGAUGGCACAAAGCCGAAGGAUUUUUUCUUUUUUUUUUUUUUUAAUCUAUCCCUCUUUGUUUAGGACAGGAGUGUUUGUAAACCAGAGAGGCUGCUGCAGGUGCAGAGGACUCUGUUCCAGCUGGCAUUCGGAAAGAUCAAUUACCUACAUCAAAGCUGUUCUGCUGCCGUUGCUGUCUGGUUGCUUGUUUCUGAGGCUGCACAGGAACUGUACACACAAAGUGAAUUAAAAAGAGCAAGGUUCUGUGUUCAAUACCCUCUUCAAGUGGGCAAUCCAAUCAUUAACACCAGACAUCCUAAGUUCUCUUAAAGCUGAUCAGGUGAUGGGACAAUGUGAAAUGCUUUUGACUUUAAAAUGACACUUGGCAAUGGUAUACUAUUCUCGAUUGAGAAAGCAAGUGAAUUCAUGUAAUAUGAUGCUAUAAUUGAUGUAGGUUGCAUUUCUUUUUAAGUCGUUGAUUGGGAAUGAAUGGAUUAAUACACAAACCAUCUGAGAUUGUUACUGAAUUUAUUGUAAUCAAUGUUACUCUGCAAUAUUUUCCUCUUGCCUGUGAAGCAUUAAAAUGCUAAAGGGUGCCAACACGUGGUGUUAGUAGGGUGUUAUGACAGGAAUAUUACAAAUGUUUGUACAGGUUGUCACCAAUAUUUGAAGCCACUUGUAAAAACAGCACCUUAAUAUAACACAUUAUUACCAUACCCUACUGUAUGUAUGUACUGAUGUGCUUUUACUCGUUGGUACAGAACCUAAGGAUUACUAAUUAUUCACCCUUUUCUGCCUUCUUCCCAUGGGUGGUCUUGCAAAGACACAGUGUUAACAAUACCCUAACAACAGGCACAGGGACAAUGUUCAUGUGGUAAACUAUACAGUCAUAGUUACAUUGUAUGGAUGUGUUGCAUUAAUUUCUCAUUUACUGAUAACAUUGCUUAUUUUCAUGGAUCCCUUUCAGCAGAUCCUUUAAUAUCUACCAGACCUGACAGACAAAUAUUUCCCUUCUCUUUCAAAAAGGACACAUGACCAAGGCCCCAUAACGAAUAUGAUCUUGAACCAACUACUAUUUUUUGUAGUUCUAACAAUAUCAGACGUUUGAAGUGUGUUAUUUUGCAACCUCGUAGACAUGGGAAAUGUAAUUUAUCACAAAGAAGUCUUCUAUC